UGCAGGUGCAAAUUUGAGUUUUGCUAUGCCUGUGGAGAAACAUGGACAUCUACUCAUGGUGGGUGCCAAAGAAGUUAAUUAGAUGUAUUUAAGCUAGCUUGAUAAUUGCUAUGGAUAUUGCUAUCAUUUCUGAUUUUCAUGAAAUAGAUUGUUUUUGUGGUUGUUUUGAAAUGGGCAGGAGAAGUUUGUUACAGUUUAGAAUGAAAUAUAAGCAAGUCUAGGAUGUCUAGUUUAAUAAGAUGAUUAUGGUUGUAAGAAAAUAUAUGUUGAAACUUGCAUGAUC
rnacentral:lncRNA from 1 species